rnacentral:rRNA from 1 species
CGGGUGAGUAAUACAUAAGUAACCUGCCCUAGACAGGGGGAGUAACUAUUGGAAACGAUAGCUAAGACCGCAUAGGUACGGACGCUGCAUGGUGACCGUAUUAAAAGUGCCUCAAAGCACUGGUAGAGGAUGGACUUAUGGCGCAUUAGCUGGUUGGCGGGGUAACGGCCCACCAAGGCGACGAUGCGUAGCCGACCUGAGAGGGUGACCGGCCACACUGGGACUGAGACACGGCCCAGACUCCUACGGGAGGCAGCAUG